GCCUCCUGAGGGCUCAUGCUUGAGAUUCCGUGUUUUUCUAUUCUUCGGUUCAAUUUGACUUCGAAGUCCUCUCGGGCUGAAAUCCUUUGAGGCAGCCGGAUGUGUCCCACAUACAUUUCCAAACUUGCCACUGAGGGUGGCUCUUUCAUCCCUCCGUGUUGAAAGCCCCCAGGCAGGCGCCGACCUCCAAGCAGGAGCAAGUUCGGCGUGUAGCACAGAAGGAGCGACGGCCUGUGAGGCGGAGCGUGGCAGGGGAGCUGCUGGAGAUGUAGACUGAGCCCGAAUCAGGCAGUCCAUGUGAACUCCAUUGAAAUAUGGUGUGUCAAAUGAGUAUUGUGCCUCAGCACAUCAGCAGAGUGAGCAGUGUGAUGGCUGCUUUGGUCAGUGGAGGAAGUUGAAACGAAGACAGAGUGAAGAUGGAGAAACAAGAUGGAAGUGGUAGAGAGAACCAAGAGAGAAGGCUAAGGUGGCUCUGAGAAGGAAUAGAGAACUUUUCUUCUUGUUAAGGGCAGCAGAGGGAAGAAUCCAGCUGACAACUCACUAUUCACAGCCAUCUGGCUCCAGGAACAACAGAUUGAUGUGUAUGUGCCCAACUCUUUCAAAAUGGAAAUGAUGAACCCACAAAGGAAAAACUCCCAAGGAUCUUAAUGGAACAUAUUGCCUAAUACAAAACAGCAAAUGAUAAGGACUUCUGCAGAAGGAAAGCAAUCAAACAAAACAAAGAAGGGAAGAAACAAAGAAAGAUAAUGACAGCACAACUGGAUCAAACUGGUUUUCCCACACUUCCUGCCUGGGUAACUAGAGAUUGUUACCCACCCAGUGAACCACUGCACCCCUCAUCUCUGGUGAUUGCAUGCUACUCAAGACCUGGAGGGAACAGGAACCUGAUUACCAACUUGCUGAGAUAUGGACAGAGACAGAGCCACAUGCUAUUUUCGUGACCACUUAAUCAUGUCUUAGGUCAACUGUGGUGCAACCUUGGAUACAUCACAGCCAGGUGAAAGGAGCCCCACUUGAGAGAUCAGAAACACAACCUGAGGCUUCUCCAUGGACAUAUACACCAGAAAAGAAGAAUAAUUUGUGUAGUGGGAACCCUCCGUUGGCCCCCUUCAUAUUGAAUGAGAGCAUGCACUCAUGAAGGUAUGUAAGCCAGCCCUUUAUGUCUAUAUCUCCUCCCGUUGGUUUUAGACAACCACUGUUCCAGCUACCCAUUCCAAUUCUCUUUUAUUUUUUUUAAUGUUUAUUUAUUUAUUUUGAGAGAAAGAGAUGGGAGGUGAA